UACGUAGGAUCCGAGCGUUGUCCGGAUUUACUGGGUGUAAAGGGUGCGCAGGCGGACUGGUGAGUCUGGGGUGAAAUCUCGCUGCUUAACAGCGAAACUGCCUUAGAUACUAUCAGUCUUGGAUAAGCGAGAGGUUCGUGGAAUUCCGAGUGUAGCAGUGAAAUGUGUAGAUAUUCGGAAGAACACCAGUGGCGAAGGCAGCGAACUGGCGCUUUAUCGACGCUCAUGCACGAAAGCAUGGGGAUCAAACAGG
rnacentral:rRNA from 1 species